rnacentral:rRNA from 1 species
CAGUCGCCGCGGGAAUACGUAGGUCCCGAGCGUUGUCCGGAUUUAUUGGGCGUAAAGCGAGCGCAGGCGGUUAGAUAAGUCUGAAGUUAAAGGCUGUGGCUUAACCAUAGUACGCUUUGGAAACUGUUUAACUUGAGUGCAAGAGGGGAGAGUGGAAUUCCAUGUGUAGCGGUGGAAUGCGUAGAUAUAUGGAGGAACACCGGUGGCGAAAGCGGCUCUCUGGCUUGUAACUGACGCUGAGGCUCGAAAGCGUGGGGAGCAAACAGGAUUAGAUACCCCUGUAGUCCCUGUCUCUUAUACC